GUCAACACAGUUCGCUAAAAAUGAAUCCCGCAGCUAUAUUUUCGAUUAUUUUUCUGUGUUUUUUGGUGGCUGGAAUUCGGGCUCAGGAUAUUACGCCAAUCCCUCCAUCUGACUUUGAGGAUAUUCCAAUAACAGUAGAUAAAACGGAAGAAGCCACUCUAAUAAUUAGAGAUACAACAGAGGAACCCACCACAGCUUCAAAAAUAGAAGAGGAUGAAGAGUCCUUUCCGAAUUCAACAAUAAAAGAAGAAGAAGAGUCCUUUCCGAAAUUAACAAUAGAAGAAGAAGAAGAGUCCUUUCCGAAUUCAACAAUAGAAGAAGAAGAAGAGUCCUUUCCGAAUUCAACAACAGAAAAAGAAGAAGAGUCCUUUCCGAAUUCAACUAUAGAAGAAGAACUCAUUCCAAGUAUAACAACCGAAAGAGAAGAAAACGAGCCCAUUCAAAGUUUAACAACAGAAAACUUAGAAGAAGAGCCCAUUUUAAUUUCAACAGCAGAAAAAGAAGAAGAGUUAAUCCCAAGUUCAAAAAUAGAAGAAGAAAACCAUACCAAGCCGGCAGAAAAAUGUUAUUGGAAAAACCAAAGGGAGACCUGUAAAGGAAAGGACUGUCUACAAACGGAAAGCUGUUAUCGGUGUUGCUAUAAUGACAAAAAUUGUGCUGGCGAAUGCAAGAAGCUUCAUCGAGGAAAUUGUGUGUGGCGGGAUUAUGAAGUUGAAAAACGUGAACAGUAAACCAUUAUAUGUCGAACUUUAUUUUCAAGAUGAAAUAUUAACUAUUUUAUUUUCUUUCCAAUUGAUUGACUGUUAACACCUUUAUUGUAUUUUUACCGCUGCAAAUUAAAUUCCAAAAGCCACGUAA